UUGACUUACUACACCCCAGAGUAUGAAACUAAGGAUACUGAUAUCUUGGCAGCAUUCCGAGUAAGUCCUCAGCCUGGGGUUCCGCCCGAAGAAGCAGGGGCUGCAGUAGCUGCCGAAUCUUCUACUGGUACAUGGACAGCUUUUUGGACUGAUGGACUUACCAGUCUUGAUCGUUACAAAGGACGAUGCUAGCACAUCGAGCCUGUUGCUGGGGAAGCAUGA
rnacentral:rRNA from 1 species